GUGGGGAAUAUUGGACAAUGGGCGAAAGCCUGAUCCAGCCAUGCCGCGUGUGUGAAGAAGGUCUUCGGAUUGUAAAGCACUUUAAGUUGGGAGGAAGGGCAGUAAGUUAAUACCUUGCUGUUUUGACGUUACCAACAGAAUAAGCACCGGCUAACUUCGUGCCAGCAGCCGCGGUAAUACGAAGGGUGCAAGCGUUAAUCGGAAUUACUGGGCGUAAAGCGCGCGUAGGUGGUUCAGCAAGUUGGAGGUGAAAUCCCCGGGCUCAACCUGGGAACUGCCUCCAAAACUACUGAGCUAGAGUACGGUAGAGGGGAGUGGAAUUUCCUGUGUAGCGGUGAAAUGCGUAGAUAUAGGAAGGAACACCAGUGGCGAAGGCGACUACCUGGACUGAUACUGACACUGAGGUGCGAAAGCGUGGGGAGCAAACAGGAUUAGAUACCCGGGUAGUCC
rnacentral:rRNA from 1 species